GAUCCGAACCGGGGCCCUCUGGCAUCCCAAGCGAGUUCUUAACCAUCGCGCCACUCGGCCGGCCCUCCCUCACUUAAUUUAAAUUCAUUCCUGCCUCUAAGUGCAAAACUGCUCAAUGAAAAAAGAAUUUCUUUAAAUGUUAUUGAGAAAUAUGUGCAUUCUAUCCCAACUCAAGAUAUCUGCAUAUUUUUCACAGAUGGAAAAAUAGAUCAACUAAACACUGACAAAAUAAGCAACAAUGGAAAAGAAACACAAUUUAUACAUAUAAUGUUAAGGGACAGCUGGUUGCACCCCCAAGAAGAGAAAAGAAGUAAUGGUAGAGUGGGGCACAGAUGAGAUCAGUAGCAGUGCUGUGUUGGGUCAUACUGAAAUUGGGAGCAAAAUGAAAAGCCAGAUCCUAUCUUUAUUUAAAAUGUUUUUUGGUUCAUUAUGAUUUUUUUGCAUUAACUUUGAUUUACAAAAUUACAUUACAAUGUUACUUAACUUGAUGACUAAGAUUUUUGGUGCCUCCUUACAUUUUGUAUUAAGAUGAAUGCCUCACUUGCCACACUCUAAUUAUGACCCUGACCCAAACAGUUGUUAUGUGAGGUAAGUCUAUAACGGAAAAAAUAAAAUAUUUUUUCACCCAUCUUAUAAAUAUCCUCCCCACCUGAAAAUAAACAAGAAUGACAUGACCAUAAAGAUGUCAUUGCAGCUUCUGUGUGCACAGGAAAAUGUGUGUUCAUUCAGACCGCCUCAGGUGGCCUCCGCAAUCCUGAGCUCCUGAACAGAAGGCAUGGCCCCAGAAAGGAAUGGAGGACUGCCCCAGUAUCACAUGUUCUUUCCUCUACCUAGAAAACUACACAGCCUUCAAUGCCCCCUCUCGCUGCAGUAGACUGAGGAACCCAAGACAGGGGGCCGUCGGGAUACAAAUUAUGUCCCAGCGAGGCUUCCAGUGCAACUCAACCCCCUUUUUAUGAUUUAAGAUCAGAUAGGGUGAGUUUUGUGAAUCCCCAAUAGGCAGGGACACCUCUAUCCCCCUUCUCAGCUGGAAGCAGAUACAGAAGAAGAGACUUCCCGUCCCUCAACUCCCCACAGAGAUUUACAGGGACCACAUCUCUUAGAAGAAAUAAGGCAGGCAGUUAGAGACUAAUUGGUUAGAGGUAAUUGUGUCUCUGCAUUCCUGCACAUCAAACACAAUCUAUGGGGAGCACCGCCUGGAGACCUCCCAAAUUCUUCCCUUAUCUGCCCUAAGCAUUAACCAUGGUAGAGGCCACCAGGACCUCCAUCUCACCCUAGCCUCAUUAUACAAUCAUUGUAACACAUAUGCCCAGAAGUUCAUUAAUAUCAUUAUAACAGACUGAACUCUGGGAAGGGACAUGGCCCCUUAUCAAUCACAGGUGUUAAUCAAGCGGUCCCGCGCCUGGUGAGGAACAGCCCAUCCUGGCCCAGGCGAAAUAAGAUAAAACCCCCAGGCUGCUGCGAACCACAGCCCUUGGAGCAUCUUGAGCCUUGCCUUUGCUCAGGGCCCACUCCAAACCCUUUGGAGUGUACUUUUUCUUCUAAUAAUGCAGCCUUGAGCCUUGAGCCCUUUGAAUCUUGAGCCCCUUGAUCCCUUUGAGCCAUUGAGCACCUUGAGUCUUGAGGCCUUGAGCCUCUUGAGCUGGCUUUUGCUCGGGGGCCCCCUCCAAACUCUUUGGAGUGUACUUUUUCUCCUAACAAUGGCCUUGAGUUGCUUUUCUUUGUGCUUGGCCCACUCCUAAUUCUUUGGAGUAUACUAUCUCUUCUAAUAAACUUUUUUCACCACUUUA